UACGUAGGGUGCGAGCGUUAAUCGGAAUUACUGGGCGUAAAGCGUGCGCAGGCGGUUAUGUAAGACAGAUGUGAAAUCCCCGGGCUCAACCUGGGAACUGCAUUUGUGACUGCAUGGCUAGAGUACGGUAGAGGGGGAUGGAAUUCCGCGUGUAGCAGUGAAAUGCGUAGAUAUGCGGAGGAACACCGAUGGCGAAGGCAAUCCCCUGGACCUGUACUGACGCUCAUGCACGAAAGCGUGGGGAGCAAACAGG
rnacentral:rRNA from 5 species